rnacentral:rRNA from 1 species
UACGAAGGGGGCUAGCGUUGCUCGGAAUCACUGGGCGUAAAGCGCACGUAGGCGGAUUGUUAAGUCAGGGGUGAAAUCCUGGAGCUCAACUCCAGAACUGCCUUUGAUACUGGCGAUCUUGAGUCCGGGAGAGGUGAGUGGAACUGCGAGUGUAGAGGUGAAAUUCGUAGAUAUUCGCAAGAACACCAGUGGCGAAGGCGGCUCACUGGCCCGGUACUGACGCUGAGGUGCUAAAGCGUGGGGAGCAAACAGG